rnacentral:rRNA from 1 species
GAUGAACGCUGGCGGCGUGCCUAAUACAUGCAAGUCGAGCGAACGGACGAGAAGCUUGCUUCUCUGAUGUUAGCGGCGGACGGGUGAGUAACACGUGGAUAACCUACCUAUAAGACUGGGAUAACUUCGGGAAACCGGAGCUAAUACCGGAUAAUAUUUUGAACCGCAUGGUUCAAAAGUGAAAGACGGUCUUGCUGUCACUUAUAGAUGGAUCCGCGCUGCAUUAGCUAGUUGGUAAGGUAACGGCUUACCAAGGCAACGAUGCAUAGCCGACCUGAGAGGGUGAUCGGCCACACUGGAACUGAGACACGGUCCAGACUCCUACGGGAGGCAGCAGUAGGGAAUCUUCCGCAAUGGGCGAAAGCCUGACGGGGCAACGCCGCGUGAGUGAUGAAGGUCUUCGGAUCGUAAAACUCUGUUAUUAGGGAAGAACAUAUGUGUAAGUAACUGUGCACAUCUUGACGGUACCUAAUCAGAAAGCCACGGCUAACUACGUGCCAGCAGCCGCGGUAAUACGUAGGUGGCAAGCGUUAUCCGGAAUUAUUGGGCGUAAAGCGCGCGUAGGCGGUUUUUUAAGUCUGAUGUGAAAGCCCACGGCUCAACCGUGGAGGGUCAUUGGAAACUGGAAAACUUGAGUGCAGAAGAGGAAAGUGGAAUUCCAUGUGUAGCGGUGAAAUGCGCAGAGAUAUGGAGGAACACCAGUGGCGAGGGCGACUUUCUGGUCUGUAACUGACGCUGAUGUGCGAAAGCGUGGGGAUCAAACAGGAUUAGAUACCCUGGUAGUCCACGCCGUAAACGAUGAGUGCUAAGUGUUAGGGGGUUUCCGCCCCUUAGUGCUGCAGCUAACGCAUUAAGCACUCCGCCUGGGGAGUACGACCGCAAGGUUGAAACUCAAAGGAAUUGACGGGGACCCGCACAAGCGGUGGAGCAUGUGGUUUAAUUCGAAGCAACGCGAAGAACCUUACCAAAUCUUGGCAUCCUUUGACAACUCUAGAGAUAGAGCUUUCCCCUUCGGGGGACAAAGUGACAGGUGGUGCAUGGUUGUCGUCAGCUCGUGUCGUGAGAUGUUGGGUUAAGUCCCGCAACGAGCGCAACCCUUAAGCUUAGUUGCCAUCAUUAAGUUGGGCACUCUAAGUUGACUGCCGGUGACAAACCGGAGGAAGGUGGGGAUGACGUCAAAUCAUCAUGCCCCUUAUGAUUUGGGCUACACACGUGCUACAAUGGACAAUACAAAGGGCAGCGAAACCGCGAGGUCAAGCAAAUCCCAUAAAGUUGUUCUCAGUUCGGAUUGUAGUCUGCAACUCGACUACAUGAAGCUGGAAUCGCUAGUAAUCGUAGAUCAGCAUGCUACGGUGAAUACGUUCCCGGGUCU